rnacentral:rRNA from 1 species
CCUACGGUGGAGCAGCAGUGGGGAAUAUUGGACAAUGGGCGAAAGCCUGAUCCAGCCAUGCCGCGUGUGUGAAGAAGGCCUUCGGGUUGUAAAGCACUUUCAGUGGGGAAGAAAGCCUUGGGGCUAAUACCCUCGAGGAAGGACAUCACCCACAGAAGAAGCACCGGCUAACUCCGUGCCAGCAGCCGCGGUAAUACGGAGGGUGCGAGCGUUAAUCGGAAUUACUGGGCGUAAAGCGCGCGUAGGCGGUCUGAUAAGCCGGUUGUGAAAGCCCCGGGCUCAACCGGGGAACGGCAUCCGAAACUGGCAGGCUAAGGGACAGGGGAGGAAGGUAGAAUCCCCGGGGUCGCGGUGAAUUGCGGAGAGAUCGGGAGGAAUACCAGUGGAGAGGGCGCCCUUCUGGACUAACCCUGCCGCUGGGGUGGGAAAGCGUGGGUAGCAAACAGGAUUAGAUACCCCUGAAGUC